rnacentral:misc_RNA from 1 species
ACAUAGAGAUAUAUGUGUUGCUGCUAAAUGGAGAUACUUUUCUAUAUUUCAUAUACUUUGGUUAUUUUAUUACUAAUUUAUUUUGUGUUUCGUCGGAUAGGAAACGGCAAUGUUAUUCCAGGACCUAAGGGAUUGACUGUUAUUGGGUGUCUGUUUGAAUUUUCAUUAAAAACUAUGCACACAAAAUGUAUGGAAUAUGCUCAAAAAUAUGGAGAUAUAGUACGAGUAAACAUUUUAGGGAUUAAUAUUAUAACAUUCAACACGGUCGAAUUUGUACAGAAAGCGUUCACUGAGGACAGAUAGAAAACCCAUCUCAAUGACAGGCCGUCUACCUUCUUCGGGAAAUAUGUAUUCUACGACAAUAAGGGUAUCACGCUAACCUCGGAUGGAAAUAGUACUUUACAUUUAGAUCUUUCUGGUGAACCAAUAAAAGAUUGUGACGGUGUGGAUGUAUUUUGGGAAUUCAACGAGGCUUUCGAUUUCAUGAUAACACCAAAGGCAAAUGCUGUUUAUACACAGUUGUACCCUUUAUGCGAUUUUUGCCAGGAACAUUCAGAGGAUCUUGACCGCUAGGGAAAAAAUACAUGAGAAAUACAUGUAUCAUAUCAAGGAGACUCGUGAGAAAGACAAGGCUUUAUAACAACAUUUUCUACGCUGAGUAAUUUAUUUCUUUGCUUGAUGAACCAUCCAAACUACCAGCGUAAGGCACAAAAAGAAUUGAACAGAGUAGUCGGUAAUGAGCGUCUACCGACCAUUGAUGAUAUUUAUCGAAGCGCUUGUUAUGGAAACCCUAAGAUACAGUACCACUUGGUGGACAUCAUGCGACUGGAAGAAGUUUGCAAUUUGAAGGAUUUCAAAUACCAGCCAACAGUACCGUACUGGCGAAUUUGUGGUUUAUACACCAUGACGAACGUAUCUGGGGAGAUCCUUGGACAUUUAGACCUGAGAGAUUCUUAAAUGAUAAAGGUCAGCUUCUAGAAAGAGAACAUGUGUUUUGGAAAAGUUUGAUUCCAUUUGGUGUAGGUAGACGACAAUGUAUUGGAGAACCAUUUGCCCGCUCAAGGAUAUUUCUGUAUACAGCAUCAUUGUUACAGGAGUAGACGUUUGUUCCAUCACCUGGCAAAGUCGGGACAUGUGAUCCAAGGAAGGGGGAUUUCAAGAUAAAUGCACUGAUAAGGAAGGAGUCCCUCUUUUGUACUGUAGAAGAUGCAGAAACAGGCGGAUAAACUUCCUUUUGUAGGAUGUGGCAGUGUAAUUUAUAAUUAACAUACUCUGUUUUGUAUAGGAAGUAAUAUCUAAUCAUAUAAUCAUUCAAUGCUAUGUAUAAAGUUUACCUCAUCUUUCUUAUCAUUUAAAUAUUAUGUAAAAGAAAUAAGUAAAUUACUAUACAUUUAACACAUGUAAACAAAAGUUUAUAGUUGUGUUUCAUUUGUGUAUGCGUGAGUGUGAGUGUGUGGAGCUAUUUUACCAAAACCAUAUGGGCUAGUAAUUUUUGGAGAGAGAAAAUAUGAACAGACAAACCUUUGUAAUUCUUACAUAUCUUAUAUAUUUCAGUUCUAAUCACUAGUUGCUGGUAUUGAAAAGUUAUGAUUUUAACGUAGAAUAACGCAUGUUUCUUCUUGUAAAUUAAAUUAACCGACCGUCCGGCAAGCUCAUUUUGCAGAAGACUAUUAAAAAGGAAAAGCAUAAAUAAAAUACGUGCCCAUAACAACGUGACGCGGGCGACUUCGAUUGAAUCAAGUCAGCUAAAUAGUCUUUUUUUCUAUAUGUAGUAUUUUAUGCAAGAACAACGACAAUUAACCUUUGUUUCAUGUAACAACACCUGCAGAAUCCCCCUGGCUAUGUUGGUGCAGUCAUCCUUCAAGCUCAUUCACUUAACAAUCCCUGCAGAUUCUGCAGAUGUAAUUAUACGAAAAAUUAACAACAUGUGUCAUCUCUGC